rnacentral:rRNA from 1 species
CUUAGAGUUUGAUCCAUGGCUCAGAUUGAACGCUGGCGGCAUGCUUUACACAUGCAAGUCGGGCGGCAGCGGGGGUGCUUGCACCUGCCGGCGAGCGGCGAACGGGUGAGUAAUGCAUCGGAACGUACCCCAUGUGGUGGGGGAUAGCCCGGCGAAAGCCGGAUUAAUACCGCAUACGCCCUGAGGGGGAAAGCGGGGGAUUCUUCGGAACCUCGCGCCAUUGGAGCGGCCGAUGUCGGAUUAGCUAGUUGGUGGGGUAAAGGCCUACCAAGGCGACGAUCCGUAGCUGGUCUGAGAGGAUGAUCAGCCACACUGGGACUGAGACACGGCCCAGACUCCUACGGGAGGCAGCAGUGGGGAAUUUUGGACAAUGGGGGCAACCCUGAUCCAGCCAUGCCGCGUGAGUGAAGAAGGCCUUCGGGUUGUAAAGCUCUUUCAGUCGGGAAGAAACGGGGCUCUCUAACAUAGGUCUUAAUGACGGACCGACAGAAGAAGCUCCG